CUGUAUCCUAGCUGCACUGUAUCUGAACCUAGCUGCACUGUAUCUGAACCUAGCUGCACUGUAUCUGAACCUAGCUGCACUGUAUCUGAACCUAGCUGCACUGUAUCUGCACGUUGUUGGCUAGAGAGCAUGUGCCAAGACCAGAGUGGGCACAUUCGCUAUUUUUAACUAUCGUAUAGCUGAAAAUGCGAGGGAGGGAGUAGCAUCUGUUGGCUGUAAUUAUGAGGAGAUGAAACAAUGCUGCUGUUUUUCUGUUAUAGACGCUGGUUUGUUGAUGCAGGAGAAAGAGUUGUUAGAGUUGUCAGUCAACAUCUACCUCAACAUUGUGUUUCUGUAAUGGACAAAUGGUCAGGGACAGCUGAUCCUGCAGGUGUUUAAAACAGGAACAAAUGGUCAGGGACAGCUGAUCCUGCAGGUGUUUAAUACAGGAACAAAUGGUCAGGGACAGCUGAUCCUGCAGGUGUUUAAUACAGGAACAAAUGGUCAGGGACAGCUGAUCCUGCAGGUGUUUAAAACAGGAACAAAUGGUCAGGGACAGCUGAUCCUGCAGGUGUUUAAAACAGGAACAAAUGGUCAGGGACAGCUGAUCCUGCAGGUGUUUAAAACAGGAACAAAUGGUCAGGGACAGCUGAUCCUGCAGGUGUUUAAAACAGGAACAAAUGGUCAGGGACAGCUGAUCCUGCAGGUGUUUAAUACAGGAACAAAUGGUCAGGGACAGCUGAUCCUGCAGGUGUUUAAUACAGGAACAAAUGGUCAGGGACAGCUGAUCCUGCAGGUGUUUAAAACAGGAACAAAUGGUCAGGGACAGCUGAUCCUGCAGGUGUUUAAUACAGGAACAAAUGGUCAGGGACAGCUGAUCCUGCAGGUGUUUAAAACAGGAACAAAUGGUCAGGGACAGCUGAUCCUGCAGGUGUUUAAUACAGGAACAAAUGGUCAGGGACAGCUGAUCCUGCAGGUGUUUAAUACAGGAACAAAUGGUCAGGGACAGCUGAUCCUGCAGGUGUUUAAUACAGGAACAAAUGGUCAGGGACAGCUGAUCCUGCAGGUGUUUAAUACAGGAACAAAUGGUCAGGGACAGCUGAUCCUGCGGGUGUUUAAAACAGGA